GCUGAGAUGAUGAACUUCUGAUUGCAAAUUACGGGAAAAAGGUUUGCUCACCAUCUAUGUGCACGAAGCUGGCACGCUGUGGUGUUGAUGUGAACCGAAGACACAUUUUAUGCUUUCAGCUGAUCAUAUCUUGGCCCCGCCACGCUGCACCAUGCCAAUAUGUAUACAUUUGCCUCCCUCCUAGGAAAUGUUCGUUUGGUUGCAUAUUGCCUAGACAUUUUUACAUUAUGAUCCUCUGUUACCUAUUUGGUAGCUCACCUGCAAAGAAGUUUUAGAUGAUCUGGGUACUGGGCAAUGUUCUUUAGUUUGUAUAAUGGCUAUACAUUUUUAGGGCAGUUCUAUGUCUCCGGUUUGUCCAGUGUUGGAAAAUUGAGAAAUUGCUUUCGAAGUUGAUCACAGUAUUGGAAAGUAUCAGGAGUUUGAUGUUUUUUGAGUCUGAUUCUUGGUGACAUCGCAGGCAUUAAGUUUGGCGCUCUUUUCCCUUAGUAGUAUGAUUAUUGACAAGGCAUUCAUUUGGAAUUAGUUCUUUAAGUGAUGGUCACUCUUUCUGUAUAAUGAUAAACAAGCCUUUGCAUUUUUCACUUUCAACCUAGCUAACUAUAGAUUUCAGGGAGUGCUGGAGCAGAACACAUAGAUAUCACUUAUGGUGUGGUGAUGUCGAGCUGUUUGGAAUAGACCACGGAUAUGCUAGAGUGUUUCGAUGCUGCUAGAGAGCUCUGUAUUGAAAAAUCUUUUGUUCACGAUGCCAAGAUGACAGUUGGGUGCACAAAACCAAGAGAAACGGAACAUGCAUAUGAAAGCAGUCUGCAGUGAAGAUAUGUUUGAAAACAGAAAGGUGAGAAUCUGCUUGAUUGUUGCGUAUGCAGGCUGUGUAGAGCGAGUUCCUUUCGUAAAAAUGCUGGAAAUUGGAUGUCUUGGCUACUGCUACAGUUACUUGUGCUGCCACCACCAGUCCAAUUUACAUGCUAGCUGUAGCAUCGGGAGCCAUAAGGGAGCCUUUGUUGUUGUUCAGAUAACAAGCAAGGCCGGCAUCCUUGACAAUGGUUAUCAUUGGCGCAAGUGUGGUUAGAAGGCCGCUAAAGUAAAUCCAAACCCAAGGAGCUACUAUAAAUGUAUCCACCCUGGUUGUUCAGUGCUCAAGCAUGUGGAAAGAGCGUCACAUGAUAUGGAAUUUGUUAUCAUGACAUACGAGGGAAAACCCACCCAUGAAGUUUGAGCAGCCAGAAAUAGCGGGCAUGUGAGCUCUGGUUCUGGCACUCGCAGAACGCCACCAUCUCCACCUUAGGUAAAUCUCUCACAGCGAUGGUAUUUAUCUUCUAGCAGAUGGUAUUUAUUCAUUAUGAUACUGAGAUGAACUAAGAUUCUCUCCAUGGGCUUCCUGAAAUUAAGAUUAUAAAUCACAUGCACAAUAAUUUUCUUCACAUCUUGCAGCAGGAAGGUGUGAGUCCACAACCCAGUGCUUAAUUUGUAUGUCUGUUGGAGUAGUAAAAUCUGAAGCAAUUUCGAAAAAUGAAGCCCUGAGACAUGCAGAAAACUUGAAAUUGCAGCAUGGUCAUAUUAUCCCCUUCUAACACAAAAACAUCGUGUGCUUGCACAAUUUGGAUCCUUUUUAUCUUUUUUCUUCUAGACUAGAUGUUUAGUGUCUGCAACUCGGUAUGUAGAAUAUAGAAAAUAGCAAAAUGGAUGGUCUUUCCUUCUAAAUUUCUGUGUUGUCUUAGCGCACACUUUCUAAAACAUAUUCAGGUUGAUUUAUUCAAGGCAGAAAGGAACGGUUAGGAGAUUCAUGUGUGCGUCUAGGAAAUCAUCCAGCGUCUAACUUUUCUAUAAGAUAUGAACUUCUUCUAUUUGAUUCGGUGAUAGGUUCCUAUUUUUGUUUCUGACCAAAACGUAGGCACUCGUUUAUUGGCCCAGACUUCAGAAUAGAUAGCUGAAUGUUGGACUUAUAUUUCUCUUAGUUCCUUAUAAUUAAAUAUACAUUAGCUUUCCAUAAUUUCUUUCAGAUCAUCAUUUCAGUACUCGCAAUAAGCAAAGGUUGAUGGACAGUACUCGCAAUAGACUGGUAUUCAUGUUGCUGAACAGUUUAGAUCUUAAUGACAUGCUAAGCAAAGAGAGAACUGCAGUUUGUGAUUAAUCGAACUGCUGACCAUGUACAUGUCAUGUGUAAAACUGAAACUAAUGAACAUGAGCUAAGUGUUCUCUUAAUUGGCAUUAUCACAAUUCUGAAUACCAAGAGUUCCACUCAUCCACGCGGCCACGAGACGGACCUCUUGUUUCUGGUACGCUCCUUCUUCCUACCAGAUAGGAAUCUAGAAUUCAUACUGGUUGGGCAAAAAUUGGGAGCACUUGAUUUUGGGUUUACUGUUACUUGGUAUUUAGGUUUUCAUCAGCGGGUUCUCGUGUGACUCCUCGGGGAGGGUGGUUUGGGUGCGUGUUCAAGGGCAUGCUGGGCAAUAUCCUGCUCGAUGACAACUUCGAAGAUUAGGUUAUGUACUUCUUACACUGCAGAAAGCAAAACUGCGGCGAUAUUUCAGAAAAUAUUUGUUGAUGUGUGCAUGGUAUGUUGAGUUCCUGAUGAGUCCUGGAUGUCCUGUUCAUAAUCCAGGUCGCUUGUGAUGGGCACAUUUCGGUACAUCAUCUUUACAGGAGAUGGAUGAUGUACAUCUCACCAUGGACCCUCUUCGAUUGUCUUUCAAGUUGUUAGCAUUCUAUACAGCCUGGCCCUAAACAAUGUGGACCUAACCAACGACGUGCAACCUAGGAUAAGCCAUAUGUCUCGAACAGGGCGGACGUUGGGCAGUUCCGGAGGAUGGCCUUCGACAUCCAUGAUUUUGGCUCCAAGUAUACCUGCUUCAGAGUUGAUGUUUCCUAAUAAUGGGGUAUAUAAUACACCCUUUGGUAUUAUGCUAUCUAUAUGUUCGUCGUGGUUAGUUGCUCUGAUAUGAAUUCCUCAAGAAAGUUCAGUAGCAUAGUUCUUGUAUAAUCUUAUAAGAGCAAUUUUCAUGAAACAGCGUGAUGCAAGAAUACAAUUUCAGUCAUAGUUUAAGCUAUCAUCUGUAUAUGGAAUCGUAGGGACAGUUUAGUAUACCAUUUAUCUCUAACUGACCAUGUACUCUCGUCC